UUACACAGAGAAAAGAAAACAAAUUGUUUCAAAACAAAAACAAUUCCAAUUCUCACAAUUAAUCUAAUUAAUUGCGAAAAUUUUCUCCAAGUUAAUUGUUACGUUAAUUUCUGUUCGAAUUGUGAAUUUUAAUUAUGAUUUCGUAAAAACCGCUAACCCAUUUGUUGACCUUUCGUAUGAACAGUUCAGUUUGUUGACAAAAAGCUCGAGAUUGUUUAUCGCUGGUUAAUGGCGACAAUUCAUUUGUUAAUUGCUGCAAUUUAAAUAUUCUAAUUGUUAAUGACCAACAUAAUAUUAAUCAACCAGAAGUAUGGUUACUAUGGAUGGACCAACAGGUAAACCCGUUAAAAGUGUCAAUAUUGUCACCAAUGCGUCAAUAUUUCUUGGUCAAGAGACAACUUCGUUCAGGUGGUUAUUCCUGUUGGUUAAAUGGCUUUUUAUCACAAUCAAUGCUGUCGCUUUAGCGGGUCAAUUGUAUUGUCUAUUUGCUCCUAAUGUGAUCAUUUGGUCCCCAGAAACUGCUCUACUUAUAUUGGGUGUUUUCUUUGGCAUCGUCUUGUCGUUUGUUGCCCUUUUCGGUGCGGUCAAAGAGCAAUGUUACAUCAUCUUAACUUAUAACAUUUUCAUCUCAGUCAUUUACUUUGUCUCAGUUUACCAUCAAUGGAGAUCAUUGAUUGAGGAGAUUUCUCUCUUCUUUUAUGUUCUCCUUUGCUACCUGUUCGCUCACCUCAUGUACCGAAAAUGUCCAAUUCCAACUAAAUAAUUUCUUCAUUUUAUUA